GACGAACGCUGGCGGCGUGCUUAACACAUGCAAGUCGAACGGAAAGGCCCUGCUUUUGUGGGGUGCUCGAGUGGCGAACGGGUGAGUAACACGUGAGUAACCUGCCCUUGACUUUGGGAUAACUUCAGGAAACUGGGGCUAAUACCGGAUAGGAGCUCCUGCUGCAUGUUGGGGGUUGGAAAGUUUCGGCGGUUGUGGAUGGACUCGCGGCUUAUCAGCUUGUUGGUGGGGUAGUGGCUUACCAAGGCUUUGACGGGUAGCCGGCCUGAGAGGGUGACCGGCCACAUUGGGACUGAGAUACGGCCCAGACUCCUACGGGAGGCAGCAGUGGGGAAUAUUGCACAAUGGGCGGAAGCCUGAUGCAGCAACGCCGCGUGCGGGAUGACGGCCUUCGGGUUGUAAACCGCUUUCGCCUGUGACGAAGCGUGAGUGACGGUAAUGGGUAAAGAAGCACCGGCUAACUACGUG
rnacentral:rRNA from 1 species